GACGAACGCUGGCGGCGUGCUUAACACAUGCAAGUCGAACGGAAAGGCCCUGCUUUUGUGGGGUGCUCGAGUGGCGAACGGGUGAGUAACACGUGAGUAACCUGCCCUUGACUUUGGGAUAACUUCAGGAAACUGGGGCUAAUACCGGAUAGGAGCUCCUGCUGCAUGGUGGGGGUUGGAAAGUUUCGGCGGUUGGGGAUGGACUCGCGGCUUAUCAGCUUGUUGGUGGGGUAGUGGCUUACCAAGGCUUUGACGGGUAGCCGGCCUGAGAGGGUGACCGGCCACAUUGGGAAUGGGAUACGGGCCAGACUCCUACGGGAGGCAGCAGUGGGGAAUAUUGCACAAUGGGCGGAAGCCUGAUGCAGCAACGCCGCGUGCGGGAUGACGGCCUUCGGGUUGUAAACCGCUUUCGCCUGUGACGAAGCGUGAGUGACGGUAAUGGGUAAAGAAGCACCGGCUAACUACGUG
rnacentral:rRNA from 1 species